GUGCUCGCUCCGGCAGCACAUAUACUAAAAUUGGAAUGAUACAGAGAAGAUUAGCAUGGCCCCUGAGCAAGGAUGACAUGCAAAAUAAAAAUUAAAAAAAUAA
rnacentral:snRNA from 1 species